UACGUAGGUGGCAAGCGUUAUCCGGAAUUAUUGGGCGUAAAGCGCUCGCAGGCGGUCUUUUAAGUCUGAUGUGAAAGCCCACGGCUCAACCGUGGAGGGUCAUUGGAAACUGGGAGACUUGAGUGCAGAAGAGGAGAGUGGAAUUCCACGUGUAGCGGUGAAAAGCGUAGAGAUGUGGAGGAACACCAGUGGCGAAGGCGACUCUCUGGUCUGUAACUGACGCUGAGGAGCGAAAGCGUGGGGAGCGAAC
rnacentral:rRNA from 1 species